rnacentral:rRNA from 1 species
GAUGAACGCUGGCGGCGUGCCUAAUACAUGCAAGUCGAGCGAACAGACGAGGAGCUUUCUCCUCUGACGUUAUCGGCGGACGGGUGAGUAACACGUGGAUAACCUACCUAUAAGACUGGGAUAACUUCGGGAAACCGGAGCUAAUACCGGAUAAUAUAUUGAACCGCAUGGUUCAAUAGUGAAAGACGGUUUUGCUUUCACUUAUAGAUGGAUCCGCCCCGCAUUAGUUAGUUGGUAAGGUAACGGCUUAACAAGGCAACGACGGUUAACCGACCUGAGAGCGUGGACGGCCAGACUGGAACUGAGAAACGGCACAGACACCUGCGCGAGGACGCAGUCGGGAAUCUUCCGCAAUGGGGGAAAGCCUGACGGAGCAAAGCCGCGUAAGUGAUGAUGGUCUUCGGAUCGUAGAGCUCUGUUAUUAGGGAAGAUCAAAUGUGUAAGUAACUAUGCACGUCUUGACGGUACCUAAUCAGAAAGCCACGGCUAACUACGUG